rnacentral:misc_RNA from 1 species
GAUGAAGAACGCAGCGAAAUGCGAUAAGUAAUGUGAAUUGCAGAAUUCAGUGAAUCAUCGAGUCUUUGAACGCACAUUGCGCCCCCUGGUAUUCCGGGGGGCAUGCCUGUCCGAGCGUCAUUGCCGCCCUCAAGCACGGCUUGUGUGUUGGGCCCCCCGCCCCCCGGCUUCGGGGGGCGGGCCCGAAAGGCAGCGGCGGCACCGCGUCCGGUCCUCGAGCGUAUGGGGCUUCGUCACCCGCUCUGUAGGCCCGGCCGGCGCCCGCCGGCGACCCCAAUCAAUCUUUCCAGGUUGACCUCGGAUCAGGUAGGGAUACCCGCUGAACUUAAGCAUAUCAAUAAGCGGAGGA